AAAAGCGGAGGAAAAGAAACCAACCGGGAUUGCCUUAGUAACGGCGAGUGAAGCGGCAAAAGCUCAAAUUUGAAAUCUGGUACCUUCGGUGCCCGAGUUGUAAUUUGGAGAGGGCAACUUUGGGGCCGUUCCUUGUCUAUGUUCCUUGGAACAGGACGUCAUAGAGGGUGAGAAUCCCGUGUGGCGAGGAGUGCGGUUCUUUGUAAAGUGCCUUCGAAGAGUCGAGUUGUUUGGGAAUGCAGCUCUAAGUGGGUGGUAAAUUCCAUCUAAAGCUAAAUAUUGGCGAGAGACCGAUAGCGAACAAGUACAGUGAUGGAAAGAUGAAAAGAACUUUGAAAAGAGAGUGAAAAAGUACGUGAAAUUGUUGAAAGGGAAGGGCAUUUGAUCAGACAUGGUGUUUUGUGCCCUCUGCUCCUUGUGGGUAGGGGAAUCUCGCAUUUCACUGGGCCAGCAUCAGUUUUGGUGGCAGGAUAAAUCCAUAGGAAUGUAGCUUGCCUCGGUAAGUAUUAUAGCCUGUGGGAAUACUGCCAGCUGGGACUGAGGACUGCGACGUAAGUCAAGGAUGCUGGCAUAAUGGUUAUAUGCCGCCCGUCUUGAAACACGGACCAA
rnacentral:rRNA from 1 species